ACUGAACGCUGGCGGUAGGCCUAACACAUGCAAGUCGAACGGCAGCACAGUAAGAGCUUGCUCUUACGGGUGGCGAGUGGCGGACGGGUGAGGAAUACAUCGGAAUCUACUUUUUCGUGGGGGAUAACGUAGGGAAACUUACGCUAAUACCGCAUACGACCUACGGGUGAAAGCAGGGGAUCUUCGGACCUUGCGCGAUUGAAUGAGCCGAUGUCGGAUUAGCUAGUUGGCGGGGUAAAGGCCCACCAAGGCGACGAUCCGUAGCUGGUCUGAGAGGAUGAUCAGCCACACUGGAACUGAGACACGGUCCAGACUCCUACGGGAGGCAGCAGUGGGGAAUAUUGGACAAUGGGCGCAAGCCUGAUCCAGCCAUACCGCGUGGGUGAAGAAGGCCUUCGGGUUGUAAAGCCCUUUUGUUGGGAAAGAAAAGCAGCAGGUUAAUACCCCGCUGUUCUGACGGUACCCAAAGGAUAAGCACCGGCUAACUUCGUG
rnacentral:rRNA from 1 species